CACGGGGGUUGGAGGGCAAGUCUGGUGCCAGCAGCCGCGGUAAUUCCAGCUCCAAUAGCGUAUAUUAAAGUUGUUGCAGUUAAAAAGCUCGUAGUUGAAUUUCGGGAUCGAAUUGUUGGUCGUGCUUCGGUACGUACUGGCAUUAUUGGUUCCUACCUUCUGAAGAACCGCGAUGUCAUUAAUUUGGUGUCGUGGGGAAUCAGGACUGUUACUUUGAAAAAAUUAGAGUGUUUAAAGCAGGCGCACGCUUGAAUACAUUAGCAUGGAAUAAUGAAAUAGGACGUUUGAUUCUAUUUUGUUGGUUUCUAGGAUCGACGUAAUGAUUAAUAGGGAUAGUUGGGGGCAUUAGUAUUCAAUUGUCAGAGGUGAAAUUCUUGGAUUUAUUGAAGACUAACUACUGCGAAAGCAUUUGCCAAGGAUGUUUUCAUUAAUCAAGAACGAAAGUUAGGGGAUCGAAGACGAUCAGAUACCGUCGUA
rnacentral:rRNA from 1 species